UACGUAGGAUGCAAGCGUUGUCCGGAUUUACUGGGCGUAAAGCGCGCGCAGGCGGCAUACCAAGUAUUCAGUGAAAUCUCCCUGCUCAACGGGGAGGGUGCUGAGUAGACUGGUAAGCUAGAGGACGGUAGAGGGGGGGUAGAAUUGCUGGUGUAGCGGUGAAAUGCGUAGAGAUCAGCAGGAAUACCCGUGGCGAAGGCGGCCCCCCUGGGCCGUUUCUGACGCUGAGGCGCGAAGGCUAGGGGGAGCGAACGGG
rnacentral:rRNA from 1 species